GAAGACUCUGCUGACUAGCUGAGAGGAGGUGCAUGGCCGUCGUCAGUCGUACUGUGAAGCAUCCUGUUAAGUCAGGCAACGAGCGAGACCCACGCCAACAGUUGCCAGCAUGUCCUCCGGGAUGAUGGGGACACUGUUGGGACCGCCUCUGCUAAAGAGGAGGAAGGAAUGGGCAACGGUAGGUCAGCAUGCCCCGAAUUAUCCGGGCUACACGCGGGCUACAAUGGUCAGGACAAUGGGUAUCGACACCGAGAGGUGGAGGCAAUCUCCUAAACCUGUCCUUAGUUCGGGAUUGUGGGCUGCAACUCGCCCACAUGAAGCUGGAAUCCGUAGUAAUCGCGUUUCAAAAUAGCGCGGUGAAUAUGUCCCUGCUCCUU
rnacentral:rRNA from 1 species